GAUGAAGAACGUAGCUAAAUGCGAUAAGUAGUGUGAAUUGCAGAAUUCAGUGAAUCAUCGAAUCUUUGAACGCACAUUGCGCCCUUUGGUAUUCCUUAGGGCAUGCCUGUUCGAGCGUCAUUUAAACCUUCAAGCUAAGCUUGGUGUUGGGUGACUGUCCGCUUCACGGCGGACUCGCCUCAAAAUUAUUGGCGGCCGGUACAUUGGCUUCGAGCGCAGCAGAAACGCGAACUCGGGCCCGUCGUAUUGGCUCCCAGAAGCUAUCUUCACAAUUUUGACCUCGGAUCAGGUAGGGAUACCCGCUGAACUUAAGCAUAUCAAUAAGCGGAGGA
rnacentral:misc_RNA from 1 species